rnacentral:rRNA from 1 species
UGCGCAGGCGGCCGUGUGUGUGAGGCGUGAAAGCCCGAUGCUUAACAUCGGAAUUGCACCUCAAACUACACGGCUAGAGCAUUGGAGAGGGUAGCGGAAUUCACGGUGUAGCAGUGAAAUGCGUAGAUAUCGUGAGGAACACCAGAGGCGAAGGCGGCUACCUGGACAAUUGCUGACGCUCAGGCACGAAAGCGUGGGGAGCAAAAG